UGUAGACCAACCAUUCGUCCCUUCUGCAACACACCCACUAUGGUCUAGUAUUGACCCUGGUCGUCUCGUACCCAGAUCACUUUCAUCUAAUUAAGCUCGAUUUGAAAUGGGGCCGGUGAAUGAGUUGUUAGAGAUGGUUUUAUCUCUUCAAAUGUGGUAUUUUCCGAUCGUGGUUUCUCUGUUUAAAUUAAAAGGUACUUAACAUAAGCUUAGCUCACUUCUGGACACACAAGGAUUGCGGAAAAAUGCAAGUUUCGCUAGGUAUAACUUUCGAAAACUGAAUUUAGAGCAUAGAGAUUUACAUAUAGCAUAACAUUGUCCGUGG
rnacentral:lncRNA from 1 species